rnacentral:pre_miRNA from 1 species
AGUGGAUAGCUGGGUCAAAUGGUGGUUUCAUUCCAAGUUUUUUGAGGAGUCUCCACACUGCUUUCCAAAGUGGCUGCACUGAUUUGCAAUCCCACCAGCAAU